UACAGAGGGGGCAAGCGUUGUUCGGAAUCACUGGGCUUAAAGGGCGCGUAGGCGGCUCUCCAAGUCCGGGGUGAAAGCCUCCCGCCUAACGGGAGAAGAGCCUCGGAGACUGGGGAGCUCGAGGGGGGUAGGGGCGUGCGGAACUAUGGGUGGAGCGGUGAAAUGCAUUGAUAUCCAUAGGAACUCCGGUGGCGAAGGCGGCACGCUGGACCCCUUCUGACGCUGAGGCGCGAAAGCCAGGGGAGCAAACGGG
rnacentral:rRNA from 1 species